rnacentral:rRNA from 1 species
CCUACGUGUGGCAGCAGUGGGGAAUAUUGGACAAUGGGGGGAACCCUGAUGCAGCCACGCCGCGUGGGGGAGGAAGUACUUCGGUAUGUAAAGCCGUAUUAGUAGGGAGGAAAAUGACGGUACGUGACUAAGAAGCCACGGCUAACUACGUGCCAGCAGCCGCGGCAAUACGUAGGGGGCAGGCGUUAUACGGAUUUACUGGGCGUAAAGGGAGCGUAGACGGAUUGCCAAGUCUGGGGUGAAAUGCCGGGGCUCAACGCGGGGACUGCAUUUAAAACUAGCAUGCUGGAGUGUCGAUGGGGUAAGCGGAAUGUCUGGUGUAGCGGUGAAAUGCUUAGAGAUCAGACAGAACACCGAUUGCGAAGGCAGCUUGCUGAUCUGUAUCUGACGUUGAGGCUCGAAAGCGUGGGGAGCAAACAGGAUUAGAUACCCGGGUAGUC